CCCUCAGACACAGAGACCGUACUAUUCCUCCAGCCGCCAGACCAUGCCUGGAAGGGCCUCACUCCUGCUAGGCAGGCAGCCUCAGUACGUUUCUCUCAACUGAGAAUCGCUUUAUAUUUCCUUCAUUAACCAGAUACAACAGGCUCAUCGUGAAAAUAAAACAGAAAGCAAAAAAGAAGCUAUACAUAAAACCAGAGUCAACAACAAAGACUCAGAUUCACGUGGGUCUGAGGGCAGGUGACUUGAAGAACACAAAACACUGAACAACUUCUCCAGGUGUGCCGCCCCAGCUGUGUGAGUACAGGGAACAGUACAGAAGAGCUGGAGGAAAUGGCAGACCCUUACACCGGCGGGGGCGGUGGGAAGAAUCACACCAAGAGGAACUAAAAUCUAAAUCAAAUUCCUACAGGUUGUAGAACCUGAACAAGGCAUUGUUUUUGCAACAAUAAAACGGGAAUGACUCCAGAAUUAA